GGGAGGGGAGAGAUGAGAGAUGUACCAGGUGUAACAAGGGCUUGGGAUGGAUGCGAGAGGCAAGUGUGAAAAGGGAGAUGGCGGAUGAGAUCCAACUGCAAAGCUGCGUUUCUUUUGAGUUCCUCAGUGGGAGAGUUAAGUAACCUUUCGAUCUGAUUUGAAUAUCUUUUUUUUGGGGGGGGGAGAGGGUAGAACUGCCCCUUUGAUCCACGACGGCUGAAAAGUGCGAAGAAGACACACAAUUCCCUCCUCUCUCAUUCCCGGGAAAUUCUUUAUUUUAUUCUUUACAGAUCGGACGGCUCGAAAGUUGUGCUUGCAAGAUAAGGACCCAUUCGUGAAUAUUAGGCCACUUGUUCUGGUUAACAUAUGCCACCUACCCCGUUUAUAAAGCACUAUUUGAUUUCGAGUCAUUCGGGCCAUCUGGUUUGUACUCGAGAAUUGGUGGCAAUACUGAUAGACAGGCAAGCAGUUUGAUUGAUGUCCUAAGUACUUUCCAUUCUUAUUGUCCUUAAUGAUAAUUUAUUUCAAUCACUAUCCUAUAUAUAAUUCUUUUUUUCCCUCGCCCUCCACAGGAUCAGAAGAUGCUUUGAUAAGGUUCAACCCGACAGAAAUAAUCAAGCUGCAGGUUAUUCAAAUUUCAAGCGACAGAGCAGAUAUUUGUAGCGCUGAGGCAGGCGGGCUUCCGGCUUUUUGGAUCUACUUUGUUUGUUUGUUUUGCCCAAGAUCUACCAACCAGAGCCAUCUGCAAACAAACAAACAAACAAACAACCCCCCCCUCACAGAAUUGUUGAACAAGGUGACUCUGAGCCCUUUUAUACAAAAGUCCCUGCUUAGCUAAUUGUCUUCAUUUCCAUCCCUUAAUUUGGAUUAGACAAGUCAUAUAGGUUGUUGCCAUUAAAACACAGUUGGGUGUCGGAAAUUUUUGCUGAUCUGCUGUAAAUCAGAGAUCUGCCAGUAGGUUCAGAUCCACAUUCUGUCUCCUUUUAUAAAAUAUAAUCAGGAAUGUGUUGUAGACGUCAGUUUUUCUUGCAUUUUUGUGCAGUCAUUUAACAUAAGUAAUCUUUUCAAUGUAUCCCUCCUUUUUCUGCAGUCAGAAAAUCUGUUUGUUAAGUAAUAUCAAAUGACCGCUAAACCAUCCCUGGCAACUCUAUUACCCUUAUUUUCAAAGAAUGUUGGUUGCGCUGUAAUGAACCUUCAAUCAAUAUUUCCAGUCUGGUAAAGAAUUUAUGGGCAUUUUUGAGGGUUUUUGUAGAGACGCAAAACAACAAAAAGCACAAAGGCAAAUACACACUCCCUCCCCCUUAAUAAUUUCAAGAGAAAGGGUUGGGUUGAAGGAUCGUAAAUGGGGAUGGAAGGAGGGGUGAGUGUAAACAAGUAAGCAAAAAAAAAUCUAGGAUCUGUUUCCAGUACAAAGACCAGGGUAUUAUUUCUGAGGAGGACUAGAAAACCAUGUUAUGCUGAGGAACUCCCUGGACAGAACCGCCGUAAGUAGCACAUUUUACUUACUGUGGAAAUGUUACGUUUUAAUUACUCCAGAUGCGUUCUUUGUUUCUAUGCCUCCGUUCAGUAAAUCUUCGUGAAAUUAUUAGACAUUAAGCUCAACAAUUUCGGUCUGGCUCUGAGUCAGUAAGGUUUGGACAGCGCCCUUGUUGCAAUCCUAAACGCACUCACCUGGGAAGGUAGGGGGUGUCUCACUGGCUCUCAAGUCUUUAGGAUCGGGGUACCAGUUGCGCUGAAAGCUGACAGACACUCAUUCCGAUCCUAAACACAAAGCGUCCUAUUUAGCAGGAUAGCAACAUAAAGGGGGGGGGUCGGUUUAAAUGCGAUUCGUUUGUUGUAUGGUGGUGGAUGGAGCUGCGACUAUAAUCAGCAAGAUAUCGACAUACUCAAGGCGAGAGGCUUAACACCCCAGUCUUAAAUGUAUUAAGGCCAAACAAAAGCCACAUUCAAAUAAAUGCGAGGCUAAAUACGUUUACUCGGUAGUAAGUCUCUCUUUGUUGAAUGGGAUUAAACUCCUUGUUAAUUAAUGACUUUUAUAAGAUCAAAUGGGUCGUCAGAGGCAUGUUCCAUAGCUGAUCAUCCUCUGCCAACAUUGUUGUUGUUGUUGUCGAUUGAGAAAGUUUGGGCAGCCUUAAGUCCUCCUUGGAGAAGUCAAGGGAGAUGGAGAGGAAGAACGUGCAUGCUUUUCCUGAAAUCAAGGGAACUGAAACCGCUGUUGAUCUGGGGUACCAUCUGGGGAGGAGGGGUCUUCUACUACAGGGGGCCUCCGCCCCUCCAGUCACACGCGGGAGGAAGUUAGUGAUGAGCAGUUGACUUUUUAACGCCCACCAUGGGAAACAAGGAAAGACUGGGAAAACACACACAGAGGGAGGGAGGGAAAGAGAGAGCUCCAGAUCUCCUCCCUUAAACUGGGUCUUCCGUGUCACAUCCAAAGCAAGGAAGCGCGAAAGGAGCAUGGAAAGUCCCUUCCCGUAAACAGCUUAAGAGAGUCUUUAAACUGCUGGGAGAAAGGAGUUAAUUCAGAGCCUAAUGAUUUCCCGGGGCAGGGGGUUGUUGGCAAACUGACAGGUUAUUUUGUCUGUGGCGAGUUGGCACCGGCUUUGCUUGAGAGGGGAGGAGUUUUCAUACUGGCCAGACAGGAGGCUCCCCUCCUUUUCCUCCUAGGGCGUAUACUCAAUUAGACCCGGAUUUGUUAACACCCUUUAGUCAAUGAAUGGGUGGUAGUGAAAGCGGAACAUCAAGUGAUCUAUUUUUUUCCACCCCUACUUUAAAUCCGCCUUAGUCACGGUUUAAAUCCGCCUCCAGUCAUAGCCAAAAAUUAAGGGUAAGAGUUAUUCCGUGUUCAUUAACACGGAACAGAAGAGUGAGGGUUCUGUGUGGCUUCUAAGUCGGGGCUUUUGAGAGAGUAGAAGGUUUCCCACACUCUUUCUAAAGAGGCUGAUUGCUUAGGGCAGCUCGCCUCUUUCUUCCUCUGUGAUAGCAUCCCGCCUUAUCCGGGAUAGAGACGCUCCAUAUUACAAUAAGGGUACAUUAAGAAGAACAGUAACACCACAUGGGAUAAAUUCUGACGAACCUCCCUGCCCCCCAGCGCUGAUUAUCUCCUGACUGGUGGGCGACUGAGAUGAAGAGAGAGCGAGCCCUAUACCAAUCUCGGUCCAGCCCCGCCAAUGUAAAUUGCGCGGUUGGCUGCUUUGAAAUGUGGGGAGGGAAAUGCUUCCUUGGUUUUUCAAAGCCUUUCCAUCAGUGGGCGAUGCCUGCGACAGAAUACCUUUGGCGGAUCGUCUUCAAACCGGUAGUGUAAUUGCAGGCAACAGGAAGCAAUGAGAGGGAGGAGAGUCUCGGAAGAGGCCCUUAAACUGGCAGUCCUAAUCCUUCUCCAGCAGCAAGCCCCCCCCCCCCUCCCGGGCCAUUAGUGGGAUGAUUCUAACCAGAUCUGCUCCCUGACCCGGUGGAUUUACGUUAUAUAGUGAGAUUAAGUGAUCUGAUAAGCCUCCUGAACCACAGAGCCUACCUUGAAACCUGAAGGCCGACUAGAAAUGUUUGUCGAAACGAAAGUGCCUGGUCACUGCGCGUUAAAGACUGGGGCAGAUCAAAUCCCCGGCAGACCUUGACCUGAGUCCAGGCUAAACGCUGAUACCAAAGAGCCCCACUGAGAACUUAUGAAUGAUCUGUUAAGCGUGGGAUCAGGAUCUCAAAAGGUUCUUCUUCCCUUUGAAAUUGGGUUGUGACCUCUCUCUCUUUCGCUCUCUCCUGCUGUACAAUCCCAUAGGAUGUCUACACUCGGAACUCGUCCUCGUUGAGCUCGUGGGGAUCUUCACUCAAGGAAGCGCGUACAGGGCUGCAGCCUAGAUCCAUGUCUUUACUUUCUGUCUACCACCUCUCUCUAGAUCUCUGAGGUUCCUUAGUGAAAUUUAGUGAGUGCCUCCGGGUACUAUUAAUCUCCUCUCGAUUUUGAAAACACCCACACAUAUUCAGAUGAAACACCCAGGUGUAAAGUGCCCCACUUCAAAGGUCCAGAACCGUCUGCUGCGUCCACCCCGGAGCAAAUCCUUCAAAGACGACCAGCGCCCUCGCUCAAAGUGAAUGACAACCCAACUGCCGCGCGUCAUCCUCAACAUCACCUAUUGAAUACAGAAAAUUGCCUGGAAAGUCAAAUGUAAUGUGCAGAAUAUAGAAUCUGUUUUAAACGUUUCUCUUUCUAUCCUUUUCUGAUCUCCCUUGACUCUUGGAAAGGCGCCAUAAAAAGAUUUAAAUAAAUAAUUUGUUUCUUCAGCGUUCUAGGAAUCUGCAUAAGGAAGAAGGCUGGACGCUGGAGUGAUAUUUUUGUUACCGAAGCUGUAGAUCAAUGUUAAAAACACUUAAUAAAAGAGCCUUCGCAAAAAUGCAA